GUGAACGCUGGCGGUAGGCCUAACACAUGCAAGUCGAACGGCAGCACAGUAAGAGCUUGCUCUUACGGGUGGCGAGUGGCGGACGGGUGAGGAAUACAUCGGAAUCUACUUUUUCGUGGGGGAUAACGUAGGAAACUUACGCUAAUACCGCAUACGACCUACGGGUGAAAGCAGGGGAUCUUCGGACCUUGCGCGAUUGAAUGAGCCGAUGUCGGAUUAGCUAGUUGGCGGGGUAAAGGCCCACCAAGGCGACGAUCCGUAGCUGGUCUGAGAGGAUGAUCAGCCACACUGGAACUGAGGCACGGUCCAGACUCCUACGGGAGGCAGCAGUGGGGAAUAUUGGACAAUGGGCGCAAGCCUGAUCCAGCCAUACCGCGUGGGUGAAGAAGGCCUUCGGGUUGUAAAGCCCUUUUGUUGGGAAAGAAAAGCAGCAGGUUAAUACCCCGCUGUUCUGACGGUACCCAAAGAAUAAGCACCGGCUAACUUCGUG
rnacentral:rRNA from 1 species